rnacentral:rRNA from 1 species
GAAAAGGAGCAAUCCGCUGAUAGAUGGGCUUGCGUCUGAUUAGCUAGUUGGUGGGGCAACGGCCUACCAAGGCGACGAUCAGUAGCCGGACUGAGAGGUUGAACGGCCACAUUGGGACUGAGAUACGGCCCAGACUCCUACGGGAGGCAGCAGUCGGGAAUAUUGCGCAAUGGAGGAAACUCUGACGCAGUGACGCCGCGUAUAGGAAGAAGGUUUUCGGAUUGUAAACUAUUGUCGUGAGGGAAGAAAUUGACAGUACCUCAGGAGGAAGCUCCGGCUAACUAUGUGCCAGCAGCCGCGGUAAUACAUAGGGAGCAAGCGUUAUCCGGAUUUAUUGGGUGUAAAGGGUGCGUAGACGGGAAAUUAAGUUAGUUGUGAAAUCCCUUGGCUUAACUGAGGAACUGCAACUAAAACUGGUUUUCUUGAGUACUGGAGAGGAAAGUGGAAUUCCUAGUGUAGCGGUGAAAUGCGUAGAUAUUAGGAGGAACACCAGUGGCGAAGGCGACUUUCUGGACAGUAACUGACGUUGAGGCACGAAAGUGUGGGGAGCAAACAGGAUUAGAUACCCUGGUAGUCCACACCGUAAACGAUGGAUACUAGGUGUAGGGUGUAUUAAGCACUCUGUGCC